GAUGAACGCUGGCGGCGUGCCUAAUACAUGCAAGUCGAGCGAACAGAUGAGGAGCUUGCUCCUCUGACGUUAGCGGCGGACGGGUGAGUAACACGUGGAUAACCUACCUAUAAGACUGGGAUAACUUCGGGAAGCCGGAGCUAGGACCGGAUAAUAUGUUGAACGGCAUGGUUCAGUAGUGUAAGACGGUUUUGCUGUCACUUAUAGAUGGAUCCGCGCCGCAUUAGCUAGUUGGUAAGGUAACGGCUUACCGAGGCAACGAUGCGUAGCCGACCUGAGAGGGUGAUCGGCCACACUGGAACUGAGACACGGUCCAGGCUCCUACGGGAGGCAGCAGUAGGGAAUCUUCCGCAGUGGGCGAAAACUUUACGGAGCAACGCCGCGUGAGUGACGAAGGUCUUCGGAGCGUAAAAAUCUGUUAUUAGGGAAGAACAAAUGUGUAAGUAACUAUGCACGUCUUGACGGUAACUAGUCAGAAAGCCACGGCUAACUACGUG
rnacentral:rRNA from 1 species